AGAGUUUGAUCCUGGCUCAGAGUGAACGCUGGCGGCGUGCCUAAUACAUGCAAGUCGAACGAUGAAGCUUCUAGCUUGCUAGAAUGCUGAUUAGUGGCGCACGGGUGAGUAACGCAUAGGUUAUGUGCCUCUUAGUUUGGGAUAGCCAUUGGAAACGAUGAUUAAUACCAGAUACUCCCUACGGGGGAAAGAUUUAUCGCUAAGAGAUCAGCCUAUGUCCUAUCAGCUUGUUGGUAAGGUAAUGGCUUACCAAGGCUAUGACGGGUAUCCGGCCUGAGAGGGUGAACGGACACACUGGAACUGAGACACGGUCCAGACUCCUACGGGAGGCAGCAGUAGGGAAUAUUGCUCAAUGGGGGAAACCCUGAAGCAGCAACGCCGCGUGGAGGAUGAAGGUUUUAGGAUUGUAAACUCCUUUUGUUAGAGAAGAUAAUGACGGUAUCUAACGAAUAAGCACCGGCUAACUCCGUGCCAGCAGCCGCGGUAAUACGGAGGGUGCAAGCGUUACUCGGAAUCACUGGGCGUAAAGAGCGCGUAGGCGGGAUAGUCAGUCAGGUGUGAAAUCCUAUGGCUUAACCAUAGAACUGCAUUUGAAACUACUAUUCUAGAGUGUGGGAGAGGUAGGUGGAAUUCUUGGUGUAGGGGUAAAAUCCGUAGAGAUCAAGAGGAAUACUCAUUGCGAAGGCGACCUGCUGGAACAUUACUGACGCUGAUUGCGCGAAAGCGUGGGGAGCAAACAGGAUUAGAUACCCUGGUAGUCCACGCCCUAAACGAUGGAUGCUAGUUGUUGGAGGGCUUAGUCUCUCCAGUAAUGCAGCUAACGCAUUAAGCAUCCCGCCUGGGGAGUACGGUCGCAAGAUUAAAACUCAAAGGAAUAGACGGGGACCCGCACAAGCGGUGGAGCAUGUGGUUUAAUUCGAAGAUACACGAAGAACCUUACCUAGGCUUGACAUUGAGAGAAUCCGCUAGAAAUAGUGGAGUGUCUGGCUUGCCAGACCUUGAAAACAGGUGCUGCACGGCUGUCGUCAGCUCGUGUCGUGAGAUGUUGGGUUAAGUCCCGCAACGAGCGCAACCCCCUUUCUUAGUUGCUAACAGGUCAUGCUGAGAACUCUAAGGAUACUGCCUCCGUAAGGAGGAGGAAGGUGGGGACGACGUCAAGUCAUCAUGGCCCUUACGCCUAGGGCUACACACGUGCUACAAUGGGGUGCACAAAGAGAAGCAAUACUGCGAAGUGGAGCCAAUCUUCAAAACACCUCUCAGUUCGGAUUGUAGGCUGCAACUCGCCUGCAUGAAGCUGGAAUCGCUAGUAAUCGCAAAUCAGCCAUGUUGCGGUGAAUACGUUCCCGGGUCUUGUACUCACCGCCCGUCACACCAUGGGAGUUGUGUUUGCCUUAAGUCAGGAUGCUAAAUUGGCUACUGCCCACGGCACACACAGCGACUGGGGUGAAGUCGUAACAAGGUAACCGUAGGUGAACCUGCGGUUG
rnacentral:rRNA from 5 species